CUUCAGUAAUAACCGAUGAGCAAUCUUCAAUAAUAGCUCAUAGAUCUCUGAGACAUUUUCUAAAUGUCUUUGUCAUGAGUGGGUGAAGGCAAAUACUUUUCCAAAGAACCAAAGCAUCCAGCUAUCCCAUUCCAUCCCAUAAUAUGAACCGUGCUGUAAAUAUAAGGCCCUGGGGUUUAGCGCAUUUGAGGGGUGUAGCGUCCUUGCUAAGUGGAGCAUUUUGUGGCUUUUUUCUAUAGUUGUACCUCCAGCUGUAUGCGAUAUUUUUACUCAGCACCAUCAACCACAGUCACAAGAUGCACCCAAAUCGUGCCCAAUAUCUUGUUUUGCGAGGCUGGCAAAGUCUUGCUGAUUUGAUCACCAACAUGUGCCACCGAGUCCCGUUCAUAAACGAGACCAUGACCAGGCAUGAAGACUGCAGGAUGUUAGGGUUUAGAGGAAACUUAGAAGACAUUAGACCCACAUCCUCACUUUCCCAAGGGAGGAAUGUGGUUUCUAUGAUUGAUAUGCUAAUGGCAUCUCCUCCUGCUCUUUGAGUCUACAUUCCAAAUAGAAUGGAAUAGUCUUUGUGUUUGGAGUCCUCUGCAGCUGUGCUCAUCCUGUCAUUUUCCUCCAGGAAAGGACUCCUUGACAGAGGACUCUGCUCUACUCAUCCCUCAUCACUGGCCACUGGCGCAGCUCGUUAACACAUCAUUUCACAGGAGUAUUAAUACAUCAACCUGAGCAAUGAUCUUGAAGACAAAGAGUUCAUCAUAACCAGCCAGAGGGUGUCUUACACACCUGCCCGCUGCUCUGUGCUACAGAAAGCAGUACCGUGGCUAAGAACAAAAACUCUGUCCAGGUUGAACCUUGGCUCUUCGUGACCCCUGACAACUUGACUCUGCGCCUCGGUUUUGCCAUCUGUAAACCAAAGAUAUUGGUUAUAUGUGAACUCCUCAGAUGGUUGAGAGGAUUAAGCAAGCUAUACGUAAACCAAUAAGUUUAGAAAAGUUCCUGUCACAUAAACAUUAUGUAUGAGAUAUUAUCUUUCUUUUUUUUAGAGUUAGAUCGAGGUUAAUAUCAUCAGUGACCUUUGCAAAGCGACUUCUCCCAGGGAUUGGGACUCAGAAGGGCUGUGCUCAAAAGGAGUGCCAAGGGGCAGGGUGCAGGGUUGGCAGAGGUGGUGGUGGGAAGGCCAGCACCUUUUCUUUUUUCUUUCCUUUUGGGUUUUUACUACAUGAGCCGCAUGAUUGCUGGGUUGGUGAUUCUGAGCAACAUAGAUUAAGCAAUUAUCCGGCUUUUCCUCCCUGGAUUUUCCAUGUCAUUGCUGAUUUUGGUUUACUAUUAUUUCUUUUAAAGAAUAGUCAGCAAAGAAGUUUACCAAGAGUUUUACUCAUUGUUGUAACAAAACAGGUUGAACUGCUCAGAAAAAGAAAGUUUUCCUGCUCAACUGGUAACAAGACAGCUCAUAUUUAGAAGCCUUUCUUAACAUCCAGGAGAAGAGAGCAGGCUACAGAAAGAAAAUCCAAACAGGUGAUCUCAGCUCUUGGCAGUGACAUUGGAAGCCAAAAGGGUGCUAGAUUCAUGCCUUGGAAAAACGUGGCUGCGACUGUCAGCUGAGAGGGGACUGGAGCAUUGAUUGGAGACCCGUUUAGAAGGCACUUCUCAUCCCUCUGGGUGAGACUCGGUGACACUCAGAGUUGCUUCAGGUCCCGAUGAACCAGGGUGACCUGGGCCCUGCGGAGCUUCGAGCCCCAGCCGCAUGCGGCUUCCCCUGGUGCCUGCCGUGGGACAAUGACUUUAGAAUUUUUACUAUAUUUCCUUCCAUAAGAAGAAAAAAAGGAAGGAAGGCUUGCUGACAACAGAUUUGCUAACAUAUUGUUUUCAUUCUGUGGACUCUCUUACUAUCACCACGGACACCACUACUUUCAGGCCAAGAACCCCCUGUUCUAUUCUUGGCUUGUAUAAGAUCCAGGAGAACAAAAAGAGAACUGAGAUCAGUCUGGCUUGCAGU